rnacentral:rRNA from 1 species
GACAGAGGUGCCAAGCGUUAGGCGGAAUCACUGGGCUUAAAGCGUGUGUAGGUGGAGGCCUAAGUACCUUGUGAAAUCCCACGGCUCAACCGUGGAACUGCUCGGUAUACUGGGUCUCUUGGGCCACUUAGGGGCUACCGGAACAAAUGGUGGAGCGGUGAAAUGCGUAGAUAUCAUUUGGAACGCCAAUGGUGAAAACAGGUAGCUGGGAGUGUGCUGACACUGAGACACGAAAGCCAGGGGAGCGAACGGG